GCGGCGGCGGCGGCGGCGGCGGCGGCGGCGGCGGCGGCGGCGGCGGGGGGGGGGAGGGCUUUUCAAUCCGCUUCUUCGCGCUUUGAUAUCCGAGAAACGCAACGAGGGACAGCGUCUUUCGCCCUUUCAUUCGGCGUUUAAGCUGGGCACCACGCUCAGGCACCAGGAUACCGCGCGCCCUCGCGGGUUUUCGUGACCCGGGGAGUCUGCAGCCUGGGACUGAAGUUUCUCUGGACCUAGGAGGUUGGUCCUUGUCUCCUUGCUACCUUGUUUGCCCAGCACUUGAGCAAUACUCCUGAGCCCAGCGAGACCAGCGAAGGCUCCUCCUUGGAAGCCACCUCCAGGAGCUGGGCAGAGCAGAGGCCAGCUGCAGGAUGUUCCUGCUCCCAAGCUGCCAGGGACCAAGACAAGCAGGGAGAAGAGAACACGCAGGGACUUGGAGGGAAAUUCCUCCGGCCGUUGGGCCACACCCGCCCUAGAGGACCUCCCGAGCUCUUCGGGCAGAGCGGAAGCCAGACCCAGACAGGGACGCUGAAGUGACAAUCCCCAGCCCUGUGUGGGCCAGGAGCCCCUGAGGGGGAGGGGCCACGGUGCUCUCCCCACCCCAGAGCCAGGCGUGGGUUGCAACAGAGGCUUCUCCAGGGAGGCUUGAGAGGAAGUUCAGCCCAAGCGGGAGCCAAGCCUGGGCCCAGCAGGGAGAGCUGCGGUGGGUACAGGACUGAGGAGGACACCACUGUGCGAAGACUGGCCUCCUCUCACCUGCCCCGUCCUGCACCCCCGGCCCGGAACUUUGUGCCUUCGCCCGCUGCACUCCUACCAGCACGGAAUUCCGAGCCACACCGAGCUCCUCUCAGCCGGCCCCACCUGCGAGUCACGUUCCUGCCUCGCCACGCAGUUAUCCCCUGGGCCUUUGUACCUGCUUUCCUGGCGCCGGGAAUGCCCUUCCCCCAUUGACCCAGCAAGGACCUUGUCACUUUCCAGGCCUAAACCUUAAGAAGGUCUGGAAGUUUCCAUAUUUGCCCUUUGGCAGAAGCCAGCCACCACAUCCAGAUGUCCAACUACCUUGAAAUCAUCUGUGAAACUCAGCGUAGCCACAUGGAGAGACCAAGUGGAGAAGAACAGGACAGCAGCCAGCAUCGCGGCUGAGAGCCCAUUUGCCUUCCACAGUUAGGCCAUCUUGGAAUUAAGUCAUUCAGCCCUGGUCAAGCCACCGAACUGAGGAGGCAUAGACUGGAGACCACCUGUCCUUGCUGAAUUCUGUCCAAACUGUAAAAUUAU
rnacentral:lncRNA from 1 species